rnacentral:lncRNA from 1 species
ACAGCGAUUUAAACAAAGCUGUUAGAAAAGUUGAUCAAUUUAUCAGCCAGGUACAUAUCCAUUUUCCUUUUUUUUUUUCAGAAAAUAAAACUCAAUAAAAUAAAAAAUAAAAAAGGAAAUUCGUAUUAGGGGCGUGUUUGGUAGCAGUACCAGGUCUUCGAUUUUCGGGAACAGCGGAGAUGAAGGCCAUGAGAUCGCUACGGCCAAAAAACUUGGAAACAAAAAGAGUAGCGUUACCUUGAGCGCGAGGAUCAUCAAUUCCAUCCAAGCACGCCCUUAAGGUACAAUUGUCACUACAUCUUCUUCGUAAUACUCUACAACCAUUGCAGCUCAUUUUUUCUAGGAGAGAACUAGUUUUCUAUUUCAAAGUCCACCUUUCUUCACACGAAAUGAGCGCGAGGAUCAUCAAUCCCAUCCAAGCACGCCCUUAAGGUACAAUUGUCACUACAUCUUCUUCGUAAUACUCUACAACCAUUGCAGCUCAUUUUUUCUAGGAGAGAACUAGUUUUCUAUUUCAAAGUCCACCUUUCUUCACACGAAAUGGGUCUACGACUAGAGAGAAAUGGGUAAGCUAUAUAAUAUAGACAAGUGAAGGAGAAAGAAUAACUAUGGUUAAACAAGUGUGGUUAGUGUAGUAGAAUACAGUGG